rnacentral:lncRNA from 1 species
CCGGGCUCCCAGAAAUUUCUCUCUCUCUUGUUUUUCAAGACAGGCCCCAGAAGGGGGGACUCAGAGUGAAGUCUGAGGGCACCGGGAGGCCGGGCCCAGGGGCUGGGAAGGCUCCCCGCAGAGGAGGGCCUGGGAGCAGGAGCAACACGCAGGUGUUGGCAUCUCCUGGCUGAGACCCUCACUUCCUCCUGGGACCGAGAGACCUUCCCCCUGCCGCUGUCUACAGAGCAGCCCCGGACCUGCACCCGACGCUGAGCGGACAGUGCCACCUGUUGACGCUGAGACGGACCACGCGCUCCUUCCCAGGCCGGCUCCAGGCAAGGCUCCUCCCGCCUGCACCCAAGCUCAAACUGGGGUGAUCCGGUCAGUUCUGGCCGUGUAGACCUUUGUCUUCAUCUGUGAAGGGAGGCUGUGCCCCCGGGUACUGGGGAUCGAACUCAGGUCCUUGUGCUUGCGGAGCAGGCAGUGGAACCACUGAGCUAAAUCCUCAGCAGUUUCUUCACCUUUUAAUGAUGCUGUUAAACGGUUUUAUUUCAUGAUCUGUCUGUUGAGCUGUGAGACAGUUUGAGGGAAGGAGGGCAGAGGCACCUGACAUGUGGCUUCCAACAAUUUCCAUGAUGUAAAUACGCCCAGCAUGGCCCAUGACUGCUGAUUUCAAGCUACUGAGGAGACGGAUGAUAGUGGACAAGCAUCCAUCUAGAAUAUCACCAGCAAGGCGGAAAUAGAGAGUACCCUGUUCUCGGCCAGGCUUCGGGCACACGGAGACAUCUGGACAGCAGUGACAGUGAUGGGCGCAGAUGAAGAUAACACUCUCAUGAGUGUCAACGUGACUAGAUCUAGAGAACAUCUCCAAGUGCUGACUUACUAGGAGUCCAUUUCUUCAUUAUGA